rnacentral:rRNA from 1 species
UACGUAGGGUGCGAGCGUUGUCCGGAAUUAUUGGGCGUAAAGGGCUCGUAGGCGGUCUGUUGCGUCGGGAGUGAAAACUCAGGGCUUAACCCUGAGCCUGCUUCCGAUACGGGCAGACUAGAGGUAUGCAGGGGGAGAACGGAAUUCCUGGUGUAGCGGUGAAAUGCGCAGAUAUCAGGAGGAACACCGGUGGCGAAGGCGGCAUCCUGGACCGGCAUUGACGCUGAUGAGCGAAAGCUAGGGGAGCAAACGGG